rnacentral:sRNA from 1 species
CCCCAGGGCGGGGGCGGGAAACAGUGCACGCAGCUGGGCUUUUCCCGGCCUCGGGGGCAACUUACUGUUUUCACAAUCCAAGUGAAAUCUAACACUAUAAAACAAUGCCAAGAGCAAAUGAAGGAAAACAAAAAUCUAAAGGGGCACCUCUGCCCAUCGUUUUGAUUCUUCAAAAGUUUCUGAAAACAUAUGAGAAACACUGUGCGCAGUCUCAGACGUCCGUGUGUCCAGCCAUCAAAAGUGACCUGAAAAGCAGCAUUGACAGUGAUCAGGUGCUCAGGAAGUUUAUGCUUGUGAGACCUGAUGACUCCCCACCAAGAAUCCUACCAGUUUCCUUGGAACCUUUGCUCAUGACCAUUCAAGAUGAGUAUUACACACUGGCGAAAGAGAUCUGCAUCUGGGGCCUUCAACUGAGCAACCCAGAGAUUGCCAGACUUGCUUUGCUUCUGGAAUUGAAGGGGCACACCACCUGCCCGUUUACCACCCUAGAAAUCAUUGAUUGCAAGAUGGAUCUGUGGUCUCUAGAGCGAUUUGGGAAGGCUCUGCGGUUCAGUAGUUUGCAUUCUCUUGUCCUUGAUUACUGCAAAUUUGGAAAUGAAGAACUUGAGAGCAUUUUCUCUGGCCUGGAGAACAACCAAAGGCUUCAAGGCCUCAGUCUGCGUUACUGUGGUCUGGGACCUCAGAGCGGGCUAAGGCUGGGUUCGGUCAUCAGCCAGAGUGCCAUUUGCGAGCUGUUCCUUGAUGGCAAUUACUUGGAAUGUUCCGGAGCACUGGCUCUUCUCAGGCCCAUAGCAGGCUUUGCAGAGACACAGGGGAACGACCAGCCAGCCCCAGGCUCACCAGACGCUGGAAAUCUCCCUCAGCAGCUCCAAGCCAAACAGAGAGGAAGUUCAACUAUGAACCAGAUUACAAAAUCGUCUGAAGCUGUAACAGUGAAAACUACUUCAGGGAAGAAAAAGAGAAAAAAAGGAAUCAAGAAGAAAAUUGAAGGUCUGAUGGAAACUGGUCCUUGGUUAGUGAAGUUGCAUUUGGCAGACAAUGGCAUAGAUGGAAAAGGAAAAGAAGGAGAAAAUGGUUUAUUGGAAUUCAUUCAAACUUUAACAUGCCUGAUCAAAUACUCUGCCCACUUAAAGGAAAUUGACCUUGGAAACAAUGUUCUGGGAGAAAUGGCUGCUGCUAACAUACUUGAAGCGCUGAGAGCCAGAAAGACAGGUAAAUUACUGAUCUUAAAAAUUACAGUCACUCCCCAGAUCUCUUCAGAUACCUUCAGAUCAAUUUGGAAAAAUAGCAAGAAGUCUAAUACUAUCCGUAAAAAGAAGAAAAAGGU